rnacentral:rRNA from 1 species
GACGAACGCUGGCGGCGUGCUUAACACAUGCAGGUCGAACGAUGAAGCUGGAGCUUGCUCUGGUGAAUUAGUGGCGAACGGGUGAGUAACACGUGAGUAACCUGCCCUUGACUCUGGGAUAACUGCUAGAAAUGGUAGCUAAUACCGGAUACGACCCUCGGAGGCAUCUCCAGGGGGUGGAAAGAAUUUCGGUCAAGGAUGGACUCGCGGCCUAUCAGCUAGUUGGUGAGGUAGCGGCUCACCAAGGCGACGACGGGUAGCCGGCCUGAGAGGGUGACCGGCCACACUGGGACUGAGACACGGCCCAGACUCCUACGGGAGGCAGCAGUGGGGAAUAUUGCACAAUGGGCGCAAGCCUGAUGCAGCAACGCCGCGUGAGGGAUGACGGCCUUCGGGUUGUAAACCUCUUUUAGUAGGGAAGAAGCGAUAGUGACGGUACCUGCAGAAAAAGCACCGGCUAACUACGUGCCAGCCGCCGCCGUAA